UACAGAGGUCUCAAGCGUUGUUCGGAUUCAUUGGGCGUAAAGGGUGCGUAGGUGGCGGGGCAAGUCAGGUGUGAAAUCUCGGAGCUCAACUCCGAAACUGCACUUGAUACUGCCUUGCUCGAGUACUGGAGGGGAGAUUGGAAUUUACGGUGUAGCAGUGAAAUGCGUAGAUAUCGUAAGGAAGACCAGUGGCGAAGGCGAAUCCCUGGACAGUUACUGACACUGAGGCACGAAGGCCAGGGGAGCAAACGGGAUUAGAUACCCC
rnacentral:rRNA from 1 species